AUAAUGACAAGCACACAUUGGGAUUAUCAACAUAAGUAUUUGGAUGAUGAGGUUUUAAUGUAUUUAUUUCACUUUAUUAUUGUGUUCAAUCUGUUGCUUGAGAUAUACCAAACAAUGUCGCCUGGUGCUACAACUCUAAUGAUAAUUUUUUGUAGCAGACCACCAUCAUGGCGGAGUUGCACGUCAAGAAUGACAUUAAAAGCAAGUGAUUUUGCAUUGAAACCACCGACGAGAUCGAUAAUACCAGAGUAUCACAAAAAACAUUUAUUCAAAUGGCAAUUGUACUCAAAUACCUCCCUUAAAUAACCAUGAAUUAAAAAAGAGAGGAAAUCUGAAUAAACAAAAAUGCUGUAAACAGACCACUUAUCUCUCGGAACACGGAAAAAGUUGAAGUGUCUUAUGGAAAGGUUUUUUACAAAUUUUCGACAUAUUCAUGCAAUUAUCAUAGAUUUUUCAAUAUUCUAUGUUGUAUCAUAGAGUUCUUUCUUUAUGCAUCUACCUACAUUCUUACAAGAAAAUUUUCCAAUGAAAAAAAUAAAACAAAAAAUACAUUUAGUAGUUAUA